rnacentral:rRNA from 1 species
UACGGAGGGGGGCUAGCGUUGUUCGGAAUUACUGGGCGUAAAGCGCGCGUAGGCGGCUUUGUAAGUUAGAGGUGAAAGCCCGGAGCUCAACUCCGGAAUUGCCUUUAAGACUGCAUCGCUAGAAUCAUGGAGAGGUGAGUGGAAAUUCCGAGUGUAGAGGUGAAAAUUCGUAGAUAUUCGGAAAGAACACCAGUGGCGAAGGCGACUCACUGGACAUGUAUUGACGCUGAGGUGCGAAAAGCGUGGGGGAGCUAACAGG